ACGGGAGGCAGCAGUGGGGAAUCUUGCGCAAUGCGCGAAAGCGUGACGCAGCAACGCCGCGUGGGGGAAGAAGGCCUUCGGGUUGUAAACCCCUUUCAGGAGGGACGAAGGUUCGGCGGUGAAUAGCCGUCCGGACUGACGGUACCUCCACAAGAAGCCCCGGCUAACUACGUGCCAGCAGCCGCGGUAAUACGUAGGGGGCUAGCGUUGUCCGGAAUCAUUGGGCGUAAAGCGCGCGUAGGCGGCCCGGUAAGUCCGCUCUGAAAGUCCAGGGCUCAACCCUGGAAAGCGGGUGGAUACUGCCGGGCUAGAGUCCGGAAGAGGCGAGUGGAAUUCCUGGUGUAGCGGUGGAAUGCGCAGAUAUCAGGAGGAACACCAAUAGCGAAGGCAGCUCGCUGGGACGGUACUGACGCUGAGGCGCGAAAGCGUGGGGAGCGAACAGGAUUAGAUACCCUGGUA
rnacentral:rRNA from 1 species